GGGCCCGCACAAGCGGUGGAGCAUGUGGUUUAAUUCGAUGAUACGCGAGGAACCUUACCAGGGCUUAAAUGUAACGGGACAGGUCUAGAGAUAGACCCUUCUUCGGACUCAUUACAAGGUGCUGCAUGGUUGUCGUCAGCUCGUGCCGUGAGGUGUCAGGUUAAGUCCUAUAACGAGCGCAACCCCCAUCGUUAGUUGCCAACGAGUAAUGUCGGGAACUCUAACGAAACUGCCGGUGCAAACCGUGAGGAAGGUGGGGAUGACGUCAAAUCAUCACGGCCCUUACGUCCUGGGCUACACACGUGCUACAAUGGUCGGUACAGAGAGCAGCCACUUCGCGAGAAGGAGCAAAUCUAUAAAAAGGUGCCUCAGUUCGGAUAGGAGUCUGCAACUCGACUCCUUGAAGUUGGAAUCGCUAGUAA
rnacentral:rRNA from 1 species